CAGAGUAGAAAGAGCGCGUCAAGUGCCGGGGAACGGGAUGUUGUCCACGGACGAAAGUGUCAGACAGGGGGACGCUGCGAUGCUCUUUCGCGUCCGCUGU
rnacentral:ncRNA from 1 species